GAUGAACGCUGGCGGCGUGCUUAACACAUGCAAGUCGAGCGAAGCACUUUGGAAAGAUUCUUCGGAUGAUUUCCUUUGUGACUGAGCGGCGGACGGGUGAGUAACGCGUGGGUAACCUGCCUCAUACAGGGGGAUAACAGUUAGAAAUGACUGCUAAUACCGCAUAAGACCACGGUACCGCAUGGUACAGUGGUAAAAACUCCGGUGGUAUGAGAUGGACCCGCGUCUGAUUAGGUAGUUGGUGGGGUAA
rnacentral:rRNA from 1 species